UUGGCGAAUUUGUCCAUUUUAUAUAUAGAGUCAGAGUUUUAGGCAUUUUCCAUUUUCAGUAAACGUCUUUAAUUAUCAAACCCUGGCAUUUCUUUUCGGUUUUCACUUGCUUUUAACACUAGAAAGAGUACAAAUCUCUCUCUCUCUACAGUCGAAUUCCUUUUGUAAUGGCGGGUUCUUGUCUGCUCUGGUACGCCUGAAACCUGGUUUAUUUGCUCGGGGAUAGAGAAAGAACGAUCUCAGACUUCGGUUUUGGCAUUUGGGUUUUAUUGGUUUUGUUGUUUUAUUUUUGAUCGUUCCGUUUCCUUUUUAAAUUGAAAACCUUGUGAGACAAAAUGAGGUGGGAAAAGGUAGAGUUGAGCAACAGAUUGAGAGAAGCUCUGGACGGGAAGAAAUCUCCGGGUCGAAAAGGUGGGAUUUUUGGGCCUGGGAAGAGAUGGGGGCAUUCAUGCAAUGCAGUUAAAGGAGGGAAGUUUCUUUACGUUUUUGGUGGCUAUGGCAAGGAUAACUGCCAGACCAAUGACGUGUAUGUUUUCGACACUGUUAGGCAGACGUGGAGUAAGCCAAUGGUAAAAGGAAUUCCACCUUCUCCAAGGGACAGUCAUAGUUGUACGACUGUAGGGAACAACCUGUUUGUGUUUGGUGGUACUGAUGGGAGGGUUCCCCUGAAGGAUUUGCAUAUACUGGAUACUUCAUCCAAUACAUGGAUAACUCCGAGAGUUGCUGGUGAGGGACCAGAAGCACGAGAAGGCCAUAGUGCAGCCCUUAUUGGUAAACGACUAUUCAUAUUUGGAGGCUGUGGGAAAUCAUGGAAUGAAUCAAAUGAAUCAAUUGAAGUAUACUAUAAUGAUCUUUACAUGCUAGAUACAGAAACAUUUGUAUGGAGACGUGCUCUUACUUCUGGAACUCCACCUUCUGCACGCGAUAGUCACACUUGUUCGUCUUGGAUGAACAAAAUAAUUGUGGUUGGUGGUGAAGAUGCAUCUGAUUAUUAUUUGUCUGAUGUCCAUAUCCUUGAUACAGAUACUCUUGUUUGGAGGGAACUGGUUACUUCAGGCCAGCUAUUACCUCCUCGUGCUGGACACUCCACUGUUGCUCUCGGAAGAAACUUGUUUGUUUUUGGAGGAUUUACUGAUGCUCGAAAUCUUUAUGAUGAUCUUCACAUGCUUAAUGUUGAGACUGGUUUUUGGACUAAGGUGAUGGCAUCAGGCCAGGGACCCUCUCAGAGAUUUUCUGUGGCUGGGGACUGCUUGGAUCCACAAAAGGGUAUUGCAGUGUUCAUAGGCGGCUGUAACAAUCAGCUUGAGGCCUUGGAUGAUAUGUAUUACUUACACACAGAAUUGUCAGCAGAAAACGGGCAAGAUGAACAAAGGCAAGAAAAGUUAUCCCUCAAGAAAGAAUUAAAGAAAAAGUGCCAAGAACAAUAUGUUCCACUUCCUGCAAAUCUAUCACUAAUCAAUACAGAUGCACCCCAACCUGGAAUGAUGCUUAAUUGGUCCCAACCUGUGCCUUUGCCAAGUUUUAGCCAAGCAGAUUUGCUUUGGAGUGCAGGAAAACAGAUACUACCACUGAAUGAAUCUGGGCAUUCUCAAGAAAAGUUAUUUGAAGCCAAGGUUACUAAAGUUUACCAUUAUGGUUACGCAAUUGAAACUAAUAUUGAUGGAAAGACUCUUCGAGGGAUAAUAUUUUCCUUCAAACCAACUUUCUCCCAUGCAGCUAAUGACUACCUUAGCAGGAAAAGAACAGGUUUUGAAGUUGGUGGUAUUAAGUUGAAUGAUGGUUAUGAGCCCAGAUUGAAAAUGGCUAGGUCUAUAGAAGAACAGGUAAUAAUAGAUCAUCAACAAACAGAUGAUGUUCAUGGAAAAGAAUCCAAAUCACAGAAACCUCAAUUGGAAAAUACUGGUAUCUCAAAGGAAAACGAUUCAAUGCAUGUUGAUGUUUCUCAUGCCCAUGUGGUUGGUAAUAACUUGGGAUCAUCGGUGGAACCUCUUCCAUAUCAUGAUGGUGCAAACGAUCAACAGAAUCCUGAGCUAGAAGUUCCAUCUGGAAAUCUUUCUGCCAGUGCUGAAAACGUGGAUGCUUUGCCCCCAAACUAAGUUGUAGGAAGGGGACUGAAGUCUGAAAUCGCUAUGCAAUUCUUAGGUAUGUAGAGUUGAUCCAAGACCCCCCCUUCCCCCGGGAGAAGAAAAGAAAAAGACAGAAGACCAAUAGGUUAGAUCUAACAUACGGCUGGGUGCCAGGCGUCAUAAAGCAUGAUUUCCUGGGUGAUGACAUCUCCAGACUUCAGUACAACUUACGAAGAUCAGCGAAUGCCUAACAGCAAGCAUGAUUGUCUCAUACAGUCGAGCCAUUGUCAUCUACCAUACAUGGUUCUAAAGAUCAAAGGGUUCAGUUCCGCUUAUAGACCCAUCGUCAGCGGCAGAUACUACAGAUCAUAGAAUGAAGCAUCCUCAAAAUACUGAUAUCAGCUGCAAUCCACCCAAAAUACUGAUAUCAUACUGACAAGACUAUGAAAUUUUGCUAUAGUUGUAUUAACUAUUAAGCAAUAGAUAAUAGAUAAUUAGAUGUGUUCACAGCACCAAACCUUGAAAACCCAUACUCUCUAUGUCUUCUUGCAAGUCUGCGUUGUGUGCCAAAUUAUGAUGUAUCAUUGCAAUGAGGUCCCCUGCCCGGAACUGGAAGAGCGCUGGUGCUGGCGGCAAGGGGUGUCGUCUAUUUGGUGAAAUCAUGAGUUGGUCACUAAGAUAUGUUUUAAUUCCUUGACCCUUGUCACCUAUUGUCUUCAAGGUUUCACUUGUUGGUGAAUGAAGGAUAUGCGGCUUAAAAUUCCUAGUGAAUAUGUUGGGCGACAUGGGGCAUAUCAUAUCGUUGUCGGUGUAACGGGAUAUGUUUUAAUACAUUAAUACAUUUUUUAAAGCA